rnacentral:SRP_RNA from 1 species
GCCGGGUGCGUUGGCAUGUGCCUGUAAUCCAAGUCACUGGGAGGCUGAGGUUGGUGGAUCAAGUGAGCUGAGGAGCUCUGGGCUGCAGCACGCUAUGUCGAACGGGUGUCCACGCUAAGUUCGGUAUCGAUAUGGUGUUCCUGGGGGAGCCCGGGACCACCAGGUUGUCUAAGGAGGGGUGAACCGGCCCAGGUCGGAAACGAAGCAGGUCAAAUCCCCCGUGCUGUCCAGUAGUGGGAUAAUACCUGUGAGUAGAUGCUGCAGUGCAGCCUUGGCAAAACAUCGAGACCUAAUCUUUU